rnacentral:lncRNA from 1 species
UCAUCACACCAUCUUACACCUCGAUCUGCUGAUGUAAUCCUAGUUCGAGCUGAAACUAUAAAAUUGCUCGCAGUUUACUUCACACACAUGUACAUGUUGGAUUCUUUUCAUCAGUAACAACAUUCCAAAAAAUAACUGACGAGCUCCGCUUUUAGGCUUGGCUAAAUCUAUAUAUUAAACCUUUCUUUUUUUCUUCCUUAUACAAACUGGCAUGACUGUUACCCAGUCCCUAUUUAUGUGGGUUGAUGAAUGCAAGUAUCAAGAUACUUGAAGGUUCUGGAAAAAAGGUGAGCACCGCACUAGUUGUAUACACUCUUUCUCUGUACUUAGUUCAAUGAAGCAAUGUUUACAAUUCCAUGUUAUGUCUUCAUAUGUUGGGAGGGAAAGUGCUGGCCACAGAUUCGUUACUGCCCAAAAAAAGUUCAAUUGUGUUUCUAUCACGGCUCAGAAAUUCCAGCUUGCCCUUGCCCUGGGCAAAUCUUAGUUUCCUUUUUUUCAUUUAGUUGGAAGACAACUUGCGUGGUCCCUUGACCAUCGGGCAAGUCAGAAUAAAAUGUUACUUGCUUAGAAGGAAAAUCUACUUGUUCAGGACUUUUUCCAAGCCCUGUCUAUUUCUUUUUCUUUCUUUUUUGUUUUGUUUUAUCACUUAAUUGAGAAUUUUGGUGCUGUUCAAUUUUUUGCACUAGACAUGUACACAAAAGUGUACUCCAUUAUUUUGUUUCAUCUUACGUUGCAUGUGUGCUCACCUGGAGGGAGGUCUGUAUAAGUGCUUCAUAGGGUCUAUAUUGCAGCUAAGAAGAGGAGACUUGACAGGCAUAUUAUGCUGGGUAGAGAGCAUGGAGACAAGAAAUUUCAUGGACAUGGGCACCCUGGUUGCUGAAGGACAUCACUUUGCACGUAGAAGGUCUGUGUGAAAAGAGCUCAAUAUUUUGUAUUCGCUGAUUAGAGGCACAGCACACAUAUUCCAGUCAGUUUAAGAAUCAAGGUGACCGAUGAUGUUGAGCGUGACAGUCUGUCUUUUCACCUCAAUACAGCCAUAUAUUGUAGAGAAGAGAGUGUCGGACAACAGGAACAUGAUAAGCCAGUUGAAGCCAUGUUGGCGUUUAAGGGAUCAACAGCGAGCAGCUUUAAAGUUUGAGAAGAUGGCUUCCGAAAACAUCAUGCACAUUGAUGGAUUUUUCUGUAAACGCGAUGGACAAACUCAGAUGCCUUAGAAAUGCCCGAUUUGGACAAAGGCCAAAGAUAAAAGUCAAUCUUGGAAGGAAAGCAAAAAUUGAUGUGGAACAUCAAUUAAGUUUUAUACUGUAGAGCAAGACUUUUGAGUUCUCAUCCUUGUGGUAUAACUCUGCACUUACGCAUGCGUGCUUGGUAUCAUUCUCUUGAGUAAAAUUUUUUCUAAGUCUUUUGGCGGGAAACGUUUGUAUGUAGGAAGUUAACUGGCGCGCUCUCUCUUUCAGAUCCCAUGAAAAUGACCAGUUUUAAGAAGUGGUCAAAGAAAAAUUUUCAACCUUGGAAGGACAGCAAAAACUGAUGUGGAACACCGCCACCUCCCCGCCACCACCACUAACUAGCAUUUCUUUUAUACUUUAUAGCAAAAGUUUGCAGCUCUCAUCCUUGUGGUGCAGUCCCGUCUAAUACGCAUGCGUAUUGCGUGUGCAUGUCUUACUAGUAAGAAGUGGAUGUACUGUAAGCAGUAAGUUGUAACUACAAGUAGCCGUAAAGCUAAGUUACUUGCAGUCACGACAUACAUCGGAUGUAUGUAAAGGACAAGUAACUUAGUUUUAGCUAACUUACAGUUACUUACUACUAACAGUAAAUCUGACUUCUUACUGAUAAGACAUACUCACCAAAUACACAUGCGUAUUAGAGGGUACUGUACCACAAAGGAUGAGAGCAGUAAACUCUUGCUAUAAAGGUUAGUGGUGGUGGCGAGGAGGUGGCGGUGUUCCACAUUAAUUUUUGCCGUCCUUCCAAGAUUGAAAAUUUUCUUUUCCGUGGCUCGCCAUUUGUAAGGCAUCUGCAAAAGAGUCUUACGAGUAUAGUUUUCAGUAAACUCAACAAGUUUUGUAAAAUUAUAAAAGAACUUUA